AAAAGGCAUUUGAAGCGUAAAUCCUUUUUAAAGCUUUUUGUAAAAGCUUUAAAAAGAUUGCAACGGAAAGCGGGAAACAGC
rnacentral:sRNA from 1 species